GGCUGCCCCAUGUGUCCCGGAGUUUGAGGACCUUCCUAAAACCAGGGAAGGAUGGUAAUUCCUCUGGCCAGUUUACAGCCGUGUAUGUGCACAUGGAGCAUCUGGCAGGUGCCUCGGCCAGUGCAGAUAGCUGGCAGAGCAAAGAAGGUCAAAGUCAGCAUGGAGGAUGGGACAUGUGGCAUUUUGCCACUUCCUGUCAGACCUUUUCUCUUCCAUCAGCAACUUCAGCCUGCAGCUUCAGAGAAACAAUGUAAUCCUACCUCAGAAGCUAUGGCAGCUAGCCCCAAACCUGAUGGUAAGCUGUCUGAGUUCCUUGCAGCCAUGAAGAAGCAGCGCCAACAGAGAGGAGGAGAACCUGGGGCUGGGACGUUCAAGUAUCAGGAAGUCACGCUUUCUAAAGGUGAAGCUGCAGAGCGUGCAGAAGGUCAACCAAUCAGCCAGUGUGCUCCCAGACUGCAAAGAGCCAUUGUGCUGACCUGUGAGUCCACAGUGAAACACCUGAAGAAUAGAUUUAGCAGCCUACUUGGGGGGUUGUUGUAUUUUAGCAUUAUAUCAUAGGCACAAUGACAUGUUUAGAGCACUGUUGAGAGGCCUAGCCUUUUUCUGUCUGUCUUUUUCUGAUAGAAGAGAACACAAAGGAUGCACCAACAGCCAAGGCAGUGAAGUGUUUCAAUGUCUUCAGCCAUGACUCUUGGCCAGAUAAUAGGCUGGAGCUCCUGAACCAUGGUGUGGAAGAGGUGAACUCUCUCCUACAACACUUCUCCACUGUCCUGGACAGGAAUGGCUGCAGCAAAGAAAAGGCCAAAGAGGAGUUCCAACUGAUGAAAAUGACGAUAAACACGUCAUUCAAGGACAAAAGCUAUCUUGGACUGUGGCAAGUCAUGACGACAAAAGAGCCCUACUGCUCAGACUUUGCGAAUAUCCUACGCCUGGUCCAAAUCAUGCUGGUGCUCCCAAUCUCUUCAGCAGUCUGUGAAAGAGGCUUCUCGUCAUUCCAAAAGGACUUGUGGAGCGCUGCUCCUUCCAAAGCCCCCAGAAGUUCAUAAAUGAUCUCCUACAUGGGAUGUAUACCAGGGAAUAUAUGGCAGGCCAUUCAGUGACUGGCCAGUCAUCCAGCAGCU
ensembl:lncRNA